AACGCACAUUGCGCCCCCUGGUAUUCCGGGGGCAUGCCUGUUCGAGCGUCAUUUCACCACUCAAGCCUCGCUUGGUAUUGGGCAACGCGGUCCGCCGCGUGCCUCAAAUCGACCGGCUGGGUCUUCUGUCCCCUAAGCGUUGUGGAAACUAUUCGCUAAAGGGUGUUCGGGAGGCUACGCCGUAAAACAACCCCAUUUCUAAGGUUGACCUCGGAUCAGGUAGGGAUACCCGCUGAACUUAA
rnacentral:misc_RNA from 1 species